rnacentral:rRNA from 1 species
GCAAGUCGAACGAUAAGCUACCUUCGGGUAGUGGACAGUGGCGGACGGGUGAGUAACACGUGGGAACAUGCCUUUCAGUACGGAACAACCAUUGGAAACGAUGGCUAAUACCGUAUACGUCCUUAGGGAGAAAGAUUUAUCGCUGAAAGAUUGGCCCGCGCUAGAUUAGUUAGUUGGUGAGGUAAAAGCUCACCAAGGCGACGAUCUAUAGCUGGUUUGAGAGGAUGAUC